ensembl:snRNA U6 U6 spliceosomal RNA
AUGCUCACUUCAGCAGCACAUAUACUAAAAUUGAAAUGAUACAGAGAAGAUUAACAUGGUGCCUGCAUAAGGAUGACACACUAAAGCAAGACCCUUGCGUUGAAUUU